UACGUAGGGGGCAAGCGUUGUCCGGAUUCAUUGGGCGUAAAGAGCGUGUAGGCGGCCUGGUAAGUCCGCUGUGAAAGUUCAGGGCUCAACCCUGGAAUGCCAGUGGAAACUGUCAGGCUAGAGUCCGGAAGAGGCGAGUGGAAUUCCUGGUGUAGCGGUGAAAUGCGCAGAUAUCAGGAGGAACACCAGUGGCGAAGGCGACUCCCUGGCCUGUUCUUGACGCUGAGGCGCGAAAGCUAGGGGAGCAAACGGG
rnacentral:rRNA from 1 species